CAAAAGGGACAAUGAUUUGCACCAUUUCAGAGAAUGAAGCUGGGAAUAUUCAUAGUUCAUGACGUUGGUUAAACAAAUAGCAAAAGCAGUAACAUAUUGGAAGAUACGAUGAUGAGAAGACCUCUUGCCCAUGGAAUAAACUUGUAAAGAGAAGCUGAUGACUUCCAGUUUAUUGGUGUUUUCACCAAAAAAGGGGCCUUGUCGAGGAAAAGAGAACAUUAAAUGAAGGUCUAAUAACAGAAUGCAUCCCUGGGGUCAAUGUUACCACCUUUACAUCAUGAAAGACUUUUAAAGUUCCAAAG